AGUGAACGCUGGCGGUAGGCCUAACACAUGCAAGUCGAACGGCAGCACAGUAAGAGCUUGCUCUUACGGGUGGCGAGUGGCGGACGGGUGAGGAAUACAUCGGAAUCUACUUUUUCGUGGGGGAUAACGUAGGGAAACUUACGCUAAUACCGCAUACGACCUACGGGUGAAAGCAGGGGAUCUUCGGACCUUGCGCGAUUGAAUGAGCCGAUGUCGGAUUAGCUAGUUGGCGGGGUAAAGGCCCACCAAGGCGACGAUCCGUAGCUGGUCUGAGAGGAUGAUCAGCCACACUGGAACUGAGACACGGUCCAUACUCCUACGGGAGGCAGCAGUGGGGAAUAUUGGACAAUGGGCGCAAGCCUGAUCCAGCCAUACCGCGUGGGUGAAGAGGGCCUUCGGUUUGUAAAGCCCUUUUGUUGGGAAAGAAAAGCAGCAGGUUAAUACCCCGCUGUUCUGACGGUACCCAAAGAAUAAGCACCGGCUAACUUCGUG
rnacentral:rRNA from 1 species